rnacentral:lncRNA from 1 species
CUGUCGAGUGAUGGAGGUUUCCAGCUGGCUGGACCUCAGAGAUCGCUGCGUUCAACAUCCUGUCUCCACAGAGGAGACACAAGGACACUGAGAUAGGCUGUGGCUUCCCCGAGGUCACACGGCUGGGCAGGGUCCUGGGUCCGGUCCAGGGAUAUUUCCUCGCCUCCUUUAAGUGUAAUCUCUUUGUGUGCUACUGUCCAAAUUGUUUAUUCUGCAAGUGUUUUACUCUGCAAAGGCUGCUUUGGACCCGUGGACCGACAGGGAUGCUGGCAGAGAGACCGGCAGGGGGAAGCGUGCUUCUACACAGUGGUGAUGGGAGGUCACCCUGCAGCCAGGGGUACUCGGGGUAAGGGCAGAGUGGGCGCGGCUUCCUCAUGGAGGAUCCCCUGGGGAUUACAGGAGCUGAGGCUCUCAUCUGCCUCUCUAGGAGAGUUCAGUGGCAGAGGACAGACAGAGGCUUCACACUGGAGAUUUUGAAGAAGGAAAAUGGUGCUUGGCUCCCGUUAAUUCCACUCCCCUGGUUUGCAACAAAGGAGACGCUGGCUCACAAACUAAGGAGGGAAAGGGGGACCAUCAGGGCUUACCAAGCCGAACUGCCACUCCAGGGUAAGUCAGCCCAGGGUCCCCUUAAAGGGGAAUGUGGGUAGGCUGCUUUGAUGGGAUUGUGGGCAGGAAGUAAUAAUUUGAGGGAGGAAAGAGAAGACACCCUAGGUACCGUCUUUAAGGCUGUGAGAUCACGGGCUCGUAGACCUCAGAGCUGAGUCACCUCCGAGGCCAUCUGCCCAUUCACGUAUCCUGUGCAAGACUCUACUCAGUCAGCCUUCUUUGAAGAAUUCCAUGUACCCACGUACAAGAGAGAGCCUCUCCUUUCGGAUUAUCCCUUCUAUUUGGGGGGGCUCUAAUUGUUAAAACGUUCAUGGUUAUAUGGUAUCAGAAUGGGCCCCACUGUAUCUACAAGCCGUUAUUCUAAUCCUUCCAUAUGAUCCUCGGAAGUCUGAUGAUUACACCUUUGUAACACAUUUGAGAGUCUAUGCCUGCUUGGGGUGGGGGAGGACGGUGGAGGGGGAGCUCCCACACCAUCCAGUUGUAUAACCUUGGCAAUUACAGAUAACCAGCAAGCAAGCCAGUGAUUUAUUCAGUUAAAGGUUAUCAAAGACUAAAUCUAAAAAUCGUAUUUUCAUUUCAUAAGUCUAUUUGAAUUUAUAAAUCCUGAAUUUUGCAGCAAGGAAACAAGCUCAGCCAACUUUCAAAUGCUACCAUUGGAAAUAUUACAAUAACUCUGAAGUUUCUGCCAAGACAUACUGCCACCUUCGGUGAUGACGGUCAUUCCGUCACCAAGCCCAGGACCUUGGCGCUUCCUAUGCCUCCCUCUCUUCCACCAGGGUCGAGUUUGCUAGAUGCUGAGACCCUGCCCUAGCUUCCUUCCACCUCACCAUGGCCUCCAACCACUCCCCCGGUCCAGGCUUUGCUCCCCACAGCACAGAGUCCCAAUGCCCAAGCUGCCAGGUUGGCAUCAUCAGGCCAGGGGCCCUCACCAGCCUGCCCUGCGCCUUAGUGGCAGUCUGGCGGCAGCCAUCCUCCUGCACUGGUGGUGCCCUGAGAUUCUCUUCUCUAUUUCAGGGUGAGUCCCUCCAAGGGCCGCCUCCC